GGUCUUGCUUGGGCUGCAACUGGGAUUACUCAUGUCAAUGUAAUGGAACGAUGCCUCUGGGCAGGGAGGCCCUGAGAUAAUAGAUUUAAUACUGAAUAACCCUGUCUAAUCAGGAGAGGGGGUGCCUGAGGAAAGUGCUCUGUGCUCUUCUGUGCCUGCAAGAGAGAUGCCACCUGCAGUAUUGCCACCAGCAAAGACUGCAACAGCGGUUAACAUUGUCAGUUUAAACUCUUUAACCAGGACUUGGAACUAGAUGACCUUUAAGGCCCCUUCCAACCCAAACCAUUCUAUGACUUGAAUUAACACAUUUAAUUUCACAUCUGCUAAAACAAGGUGCAGGCUGGGCUGAGGUCACUGCUUUGUUCAUUUGCACUGAACUGCUUAACUCUGAAAGGGAAGUAGCUCAUCUAACACUGUCCCUCAGACAAGAGUACACCCAAGAAGAGAAGCUUUCCUAAUUGACUUUCAUAUUAGUCUGUGACCAGAGUUACUUUAUAAUCCAACACUCCAGAUUCCUCGGGGCCUUGGCAGUCAUUCCAAGAUGCUCUGCUUGCCUAAGAGCUGAGGUGUUAUACAAACUCUGUGUUAUUGUGAAGAAAGGGAUCGAUUCAGACAAACACUGUCCUUGGACUAGAGCACUUACAGUUCACUUCUCUGCUUCAAAGCAACACACAGGCUGUUAAAAGCCCAAGGGACAAGUGUCUCCAGCUCAUUUCAGACCACUUGAAAGAGAAAUUUAAAUGCUCACAGAUAAUAAUGAUGUGCCUUGCAGGAUUUUUAAAGCUACCAUGGAACCCAAAUCCUUUCAAAUCUAAUUAAUAAUUACUUGUGCUCCCAACUCAUAUACAUGGACACCCCCAUAAUAUUGGGGUAUUCAUAAAUUUUCAGGCCAUUAAUGAAGGUUUGGAACCUGUCAGUCAAGUUUGGAGGGGUGUGGAAACAGAUUUAAAUGAGCUUCACAUUCAUUUCUUGGAGUUGCAAGUUAGAUAUUUUUAAUUAUAUCAUGUUAUUAAAGAUGUUUUAAUA
rnacentral:lncRNA from 1 species